rnacentral:lncRNA from 1 species
AAAAAUAUUACAAAAUAAAUGGUAUAGAUGACUGAAUUUGGUCUCGCUAAUGUAUUAUUUAACAAAAGAUAAGAUAAUAUUUUUUUUUAUUUUUUUUUUGAAAACUCUACGGUAAUAUAUAUAGUCUUUUUUUUUUUAACACAAAUCUGCAAUAUAUUAAGAAGAACUGUGCAAAUCAUUGUUUACAGAAACAACAAUAACAGAAGGAAUAGAAGAAUGAAAAAUAAAAUCAGAGAUAGAAACAUGUUGAAUUUCUGCAAGACAAUCUGCAGGUUGAUUUAGAGCUCUUGGAACCCAACUAAACUGAAUAGACUCAAAUCUUUCCAUCCAUGUCUUGAUUUCAUAAAGCCAG